GGGUUGUGAGGUUAAGCGACUAAGCGUACACGGUGGAUGCCCUGGCAGUCAGAGGCGAUGAAGGACGUGCUAAUCUGCGAAAAGCGUCGGUAAGGUGAUAUGAACCGUUAUAACCGGCGAUGUCCGAAUGGGGAAACCCAGUGCAAUUCGUUGCACUAUCGUUAACUGAAUACAUAGGUUAACGAGGCGAACCGGGGGAACUGAAACAUCUAAGUACCCGAGGAAAAGAAAUCAACCGAGAUUCCCCCAGUAGCGGCGAGCGAACGGGGAGCAGCCCAGAGUCUGAAUCAGCUUGUGUGUUAGUGGAACGGUCUGGAAAGUCCGACGGUACAGGGUGAUAGUCCCGUACACCAAAAUGCACAGGCUGUGAACUCGAAGAGUAGGGCGGGACACGUGGUAUCCUGUCUGAAUAUGGGGGGACCAUCCUCCAAGGCUAAAUACUCCUGACUGACCGAUAGUGAACCAGUACCGUGAGGGAAAGGCGAAAAGAACCCCGGCGAGGGGAGUGAAAAAGAACCUGAAACCGUGUACGUACAAGCAGUGGGAGCACCUUCGGGUGUGACUGCGUACCUUUUGUAUAAUGGGUCAGCGACUUAUAUUCUGUAGCAAGGUUAACCGUAUAGGGGAGCCGCAGGGAAACCGAGUCUUAACUGGGCGUUAAGUUGCAGGGUAUAGACCCGAAACCCGGUGAUCUAGCCAUGGGCAGGUUGAAGGUUGGGUAACACUAACUGGAGGACCGAACCGACUAAUGUUGAAAAAUUAGCGGAUGACUUGUGGCUGGGGGUGAAAGGCCAAUCAAACCGGGAGAUAGCUGGUUCUCCCCGAAAGCUAUUUAGGUAGCGCCUCGUGAACUCAUCUUCGGGGGUAGAGCACUGUUUCGGCUAGGGGGUCAUCCCGACUUACCAACCCGAUGCAAACUACGAAUACCGAAGAAUGUUAUCACGGGAGACACACGGCGGGUGCUAACGUCCGUCGUGAAGAGGGAAACAACCCAGACCGCCAGCUAAGGUCCCAAAGUCAUGGUUAAGUGGGAAACGAUGUGGGAAGGCACAGACAGCCAGGAUGUUGGCUUAGAAGCAGCCAUCAUUUAAAGAAAGCGUAAUAGCUCACUGGUCGAGUCGGCCUGCGCGGAAGAUGUAACGGGGCUAAACCAUGCACCGAAGCUGCGGCAGCGACACUAUGUGUUGUUGGGUAGGGGAGCGUUCUGUAAGCCUGCGAAGGUGUGCUGUGAGGCAUGCUGGAGGUAUCAGAAGUGCGAAUGCUGACAUAAGUAACGAUAAAGCGGGUGAAAAGCCCGCUCGCCGGAAGACCAAGGGUUCCUGUCCAACGUUAAUCGGGGCAGGGUGAGUCGACCCCUAAGGCGAGGCCGAAAGGCGUAGUCGAUGGGAAACAGGUUAAUAUUCCUGUACUUGGUGUUACUGCGAAGGGGGGACGGAGAAGGCUAUGUUAGCCGGGCGACGGUUGUCCCGGUUUAAGCAUGUAGGCUGAUUGUCCAGGCAAAUCCGGAUAAUCAAGGCUGAGGUGUGAUGACGAGGCACUACGGUGCUGAAGUAACAAAUGCCCUGCUUCCAGGAAAAGCCUCUAAGCAUCAGGUAACAUCAAAUCGUACCCCAAACCGACACAGGUGGUCAGGUAGAGAAUACCAAGGCGCUUGAGAGAACUCGGGUGAAGGAACUAGGCAAAAUGGUGCCGUAACUUCGGGAGAAGGCACGCUGGUGUGUAGGUGAAGUCCCUGCGGAUGGAGCUGAGACCAGUCGAAGAUACCAGCUGGCUGCAACUGUUUAUUAAAAACACAGCACUGUGCAAACACGAAAGUGGACGUAUACGGUGUGACGCCUGCCCGGUGCCGGAAGGUUAAUUGAUGGGGUUAUCCGUAAGGAGAAGCUCUUGAUCGAAGCCCCGGUAAACGGCGGCCGUAACUAUAACGGUCCUAAGGUAGCGAAAUUCCUUGUCGGGUAAGUUCCGACCUGCACGAAUGGCGUAAUGAUGGCCAGGCUGUCUCCACCCGAGACUCAGUGAAAUUGAACUCGCUGUGAAGAUGCAGUGUACCCGCGGCAAGACGGAAAGACCCCGUGAACCUUUACUAUAGCUUGACACUGAACAUUGAGCCUUGAUGUGUAGGAUAGGUGGGAGGCUUUGAAGCGUGGACGCCAGUCUGCGUGGAGCCAACCUUGAAAUACCACCCUUUAAUGUUUGAUGUUCUAACGUUGGCCCCUGACCGGGGUUGCGGACAGUGUCUGGUGGGUAGUUUGACUGGGGCGGUCUCCUCCCAAAGCGUAACGGAGGAGCACGAAGGUUAGCUAAUCCUGGUCGGACAUCAGGAGGUUAGUGCAAUGGCAUAAGCUAGCUUGACUGCGAGCGUGACGGCGCGAGCAGGUGCGAAAGCAGGUCAUAGUGAUCCGGUGGUUCUGAAUGGAAGGGCCAUCGCUCAACGGAUAAAAGGUACUCCGGGGAUAACAGGCUGAUACCGCCCAAGAGUUCAUAUCGACGGCGGUGUUUGGCACCUCGAUGUCGGCUCAUCACAUCCUGGGGCUGAAGUAGGUCCCAAGGGUAUGGCUGUUCGCCAUUUAAAGUGGUACGCGAGCUGGGUUUAGAACGUCGUGAGACAGUUCGGUCCCUAUCUGCCGUGGGCGCUGGAGAAUUGAGGGGGCUGCUCCUAGUACGAGAGGACCGGAGUGGACGCAUCACUGGUGUUCGGGUUGUCAUGCCAAUGGCACUGCCCGGUAGCUAAAUGCGGAAGAGAUAAGUGCUGAAAGCAUCUAAGCACGAAACUUGCCCCGAGAUGAGUUCUCCCUGAGACUUUAAGUCUCCUGAAGGAACGUUAAAGACGAUGACGUUGAUAGGCCGGGUGUGUAAGCGCAGCGAUGCGUUGAGCUAACCGGUACUAAUGAACCGUGAGGCUUAACCUUACAACGCCGAAG
rnacentral:rRNA from 1 species